CCACUGGACCUUUGUUGUUGCUUUUCAUAAGGGCCAAGCACAAAGAAUACUUCUGUUGUGAAGAAAAGCCAAUGAGUAGCUUUGAGAAGUUUGGUAUUUGGCUUGGUUUUGUGGAGGAGCCAAAGCCUUGCCCUGGGCAGGAGGACCUCCAUAGUAUGGCUGUAGAAAUGGGAAUUUCCUCUGUGACAAUACUUGCUAGCACCGCUAUAUCCAAGAUGUGGUACUGGUCCACAUCUUUAUUUGGACGCCUAUGUUACAACGCACUUUGAAAAAUUACGCACUUUGAAAAAAUCUUUCAAAGUGCGUUAAUUUUGGGACAACGUUAACGCACUUUGAAAAAAAAAAAUUCUUUUCAAAGUGCGUUAAUAUCGACCAUAUUAACGCACUUUGAAAAAAAAUGUGCACGGCUUGGUCAAUAUUCUUGCAAAUUUUAGGUAUGAUAAAUAAUUAUUUGAACCUGGUUGGAUAAUUUUUCGGUGGUGAGGUCAGGAUCUGAGAUAUAGACGUUUUAAAUAUUUUUAGGGGUUGUCUUGUUUCCAAAGGUUCUGGUAACUGUUUUAAAAGGGAAAUGGGUCUUAGAAAUAUUGGAGGAAUGAUUGUUUACUAUACAGUUUCGUUUCUUUCUUUUUUUCUUUUCUUUUUUAAAUUUUAUCCAGUCUCUAAUAAGUUCGGUAGAUGUAGGUGUCGACA